rnacentral:rRNA from 1 species
ACGAACGCUGGCGGCAGGCUUAACACAUGCAAGUCGAACGCCCCGCAAGGGGAGUGGCAGACGGGUGAGUAACGCGUGGGAAUCUACCUAGUUCUGCGGAACAACAGUUGGAAACGACUGCUAAUACCGCAUACGCCCUACGGGGGAAAGAUUUAUCGGAAUUAGAUGAGCCCGCGUAAGAUUAGCUAGUUGGUGGGGUAAUGGCCUACCAAGGCGACGAUCUUUAGCUGGUCUGAGAGGAUGAUCAGCCACACUGGGACUGAGACACGGCCCAGACUCCUACGGGAGGCAGCAGUGGGGAAU